UGAACAGUUCACGUUAUUUCGCGUUUUCUUUUAUUGAAGUCCUUCAGAUUGUGGAAAAUCGCACAUUUUCAGAUCUUUCCUGAAUUAUAUUGAUAGUUAAUGCUGUCAUGUGCUGGAUGCCAUAUCAUGCCAUUAUAACUAAUAAAGUCAACAUGUAAUCCAUAAAUAAACGAAAAACAAAAAAACGUACUUGGUAACAUCUUCAGUCCAAAAGUACUGCCAUCCUUAACCGGGAUAUUUCGUAUUUACAGUAUACAACCCACCUUCCGAUGUUCCCCGAGAAGGUCACAUUCUCCGCAGGUUAUUUAACCAUAUUCAUACGAUCCCAAUAUUGCCUUAGUCUUGUAUUUACCUAUCUGAAGACUAAAAUGGAAAAUGUCCGGUUGAAAAUGUCCGGAAACGCUGUAUCGUAGUGCGUGGCAUCGCAUUGGAGACAGCAUUGAAGUUGAGCGGCCAGGCAGUGCGAGGCUGCCACGGGGAGUGAGAGUAAAUGCAGUGAUUCCUUACAAGAACAAGGACCCAUCCGAACCUAAUAACCACUUGUCACACGCCAUUGUUCGAGGAUCACCACUGUUCUAAGUGAUACAGAGCGUUUGGAAGUAGUGUAUGAGGACCAACGCUUCAAAAUCGGCAUAUUGAUUAAGUGCUCGAGUCAGUCAACAACAACCUAAAGGUUUCAUUGAAAGCUGUAGCUGUAUUUGGCUGCACUCCUGAACACUGACUCUGACCGACUUUGCUAACAAAGGACUUUUGGUAGUCUUCAAGCAACAUCAGCAGGGCUCCUGCUAUGCCAAAGAUUUUCAACUUUGCAAUGAUGCCUUCGUGCCACACUCUGUCAAAUGCACCAGCUACGUCGAGUGCAAUGGCAAAGGUUUCAUUGCCGACAUCGAGGGAGUUUCG
rnacentral:misc_RNA from 1 species